AAACAGUAUUUAUAUUUGAUAAAAUGAAAUAAUUUACAUUAAUAGUAAUUUAUGCAAAACAUCACAAUUUUCAAAGGUAAUAAUUUAGGCAUAAACUAUCAGCUAUCAAAUUGAGUACAAGCAUUGUUUUUAUUCAUUCUAACCUUUACCUUCAAGUUACUAGUAAUUUUAAAAGAAAAAAUGAAUUUUCAGCUCCAAAAAGAUUUCAAAAACUUCAGGAAAUAAUGUACUGCCUUGGAAACAACUACUUCCACAUUUCAAUAUCCCUCACAGUGCUUCUUAACAUGUCUUUGAGAUUUAAAGACUUCAGAGGAAGGUCAGCUACUCUUUGAUCCCUUCUUUGUGGGCAGGGAGCAGUAAGCAGUAAGCGGAGUAUACGGAGCUGUGAUGAGAUAUCUUCUUCAUCUGGAAGAAGAAGGAUGACUUGCGAUUAGACAGUAAAGCUGUUCUGAAAGCUUUGUUUCAACUUUUGUUCUGUAUUUCAAUUAAAAUAAAAUUUUCUGCAGUAUUUUCAUUAUAUUGAAUUUGUUUGUAGCGUUCAUUUGGACUGGAAAAUUGUUCCUGUUUUUUUCUCUUAUUGAACACGCUCAGAUGGUUCUAGGUUUAGAAGUCCCUUGCUACUGUGAAGCAUUCUUCUUCACCAUAUUCUGGCUAAUUCUUUAGAACAUGAAGAUCACAGGAAAAUUAGAAAAACGGAGCGUGGAAGAAGCAAAGAACGUAUCCUGUGUCACCCUCUGACAUGAUUUUCAGCUCUUGGAGAUUAACACCAGCACUGUAAUACUAGCCCUUCCAAUCUCAACCUACGGCACGGGCAGCGGCACACACAAGCAUUAUCCCUCCGAGCCCAAGCGCACGACCAGGAAAAAGGCGAGACGCUCACCUGUUGCGUUUAUUUCCACAACAAUGCGUUUAAAGAGCCGAAAACAGAGCCGCUCCCAUCCCCGACGACGCCUUCCCACCACCUCCUCCUCCCCGUACCUCAGAGAGGCGGAGCUACGCACGCGCGGCCUGAGGGCGCGUCCCGCCCUUUUUGGGUGAGCGCGGGAGGUGGUGGGGCUUCUGGAACGCC
rnacentral:lncRNA from 1 species